rnacentral:rRNA from 1 species
CGACCGCUGGCGGCGUGCCUAAUACAUGCAAGUUGAGCGCUGAAGGUUGGUACUUGUACCAACUGGAUGAGCAGCGAACGGGUGAGUAACGCGUGGGGAAUCUGCCUUUGAGCGGGGGACAACAUUUGGAAACGAAUGCUAAUACCGCAUAAAAACUUUAAACACAAGUUUUAAGUUUGAAAGAUGCAAUUGCAUCACUCAAAGAUGAUCCCGCGUUGUAUUAGCUAGUUGGUGAGGUAAAGGCUCACCAAGGCGAUGAUACAUAGCCGACCUGAGAGGGUGAUCGGCCACAUUGGGACAGAGACACGGCCCAAACUCCUACGGGAGGCAGCAGUAGGGAAUCUUCGGCAAUGGACGAAAGUCUGACCGAGCAACGCCGCGUGAGUGAAGAAGGUUUUCGGAUCGUAAAACUCUGUUGGUAGAGAAGAACGUUGGUGAGAGUGGAAAGCUCAUCAAGUGACGGUAACUACCCAGAAAGGGACGGCUAACUACGUG